rnacentral:rRNA from 1 species
GACGAACGCUUGCGGCGUGCCUAAUACAUGCAAGUAGAACGCUGAAGAGAGGAGCUUGCUCUUCUUGGAUGAGUUGCGAACGGGUGAGUAACGCGUAGGUAACCUGCCUUGUAGCGGGGGAUAACUAUUGGAAACGAUAGCUAAUACCGCAUAACAAUGGAUGACACAUGUCAUUUAUUUGAAAGGGGCAAUUGUUCCACUACAAGAUGGACCUGCGUUGUAUUAGCUAGUAGGUGAGGUAAUGGCUCACCUAGGCGACGAUACAUAGCCGACCUGAGAGGGUGAUCGGCCACACUGGGACUGAGACACGGCCCAGACUCCUACGGGAGGCAGCAGUAGGGAAUCUUCGGCAAUGGGGGCAACCCUGACCGAGCAACGCCGCGUGAGUGAAGAAGGUUUUCGGAUCGUAAAGCUCUGUUGUAAGUCAAGAACGGGUGUGAGAGUGGAAAGUUCACACUGUGACGGUAGCUUACCAGAAAGGGACGGCUAACUACGUGCCAGCAGCCGCGGUAAUACGUAGGUCCCGAGCGUUGUCCGGAUUUAUUGGGCGUAAAGCGAGCGCAGGCGGUUUGAUAAGUCUGAAGUUAAAGGCUGUGGCUCAACCAUAGUUCGCUUUGGAAACUGUCAAACUUGAGUGCAGAAGGGGAGAGUGGAAUUCCAUGUGUAGCGGUGAAAUGCGUAGAUAUAUGGAGGAACACCGGUGGCGAAAGCGGCUCUCUGGUCUGUAACUGACGCUGAGGCUCGAAAGCGUGGGGAGCGAACAGGAUUAGAUACCCUGGUAGUCCACGCCGUAAACGAUGAGUGCUAGGUGUUGGAUCCUUUCCGGGAUUCAGUGCCGCAGCUAACGCAUUAAGCACUCCGCCUGGGGAGUACGACCGCAAGGUUGAAACUCAAAGGAAUUGACGGGGGCCCGCACAAGCGGUGGAGCAUGUGGUUUAAUUCGAAGCAACGCGAAGAACCUUACCAGGUCUUGACAUCCCGAUGCUAUUUCUAGAGAUAGAAAGUUACUUCGGUACAUCGGUGACAGGUGGUGCAUGGUUGUCGUCAGCUCGUGUCGUGAGAUGUUGGGUUAAGUCCCGCAACGAGCGCAACCCCUAUUGUUAGUUGCCAUCAUUCAGUUGGGCACUCUAGCGAGACUGCCGGUAAUAAACCGGAGGAAGGUGGGGAUGACGUCAAAUCAUCAUGCCCCUUAUGACCUGGGCUACACACGUGCUACAAUGGUUGGUACAACGAGUUGCGAGUCGGUGACGGCGAGCUAAUCUCUUAAAGCCAAUCUCAGUUCGGAUUGUAGGCUGCAACUCGCCUACAUGAAGUCGGAAUCGCUAGUAAUCGCGGAUCAGCACGCCGCGGUGAAUACGUUCCCGGGCCU